rnacentral:rRNA from 1 species
CCCGUACCGCAAACCGACACAGGUAGUCAAGAUGAGAAUUCUAAGGUGAGCGAGCGAACUCUCGUUAAGGAACUCGGCAAAAUGACCCCGUAACUUCGGGAGAAGGGGUGCUCUUUAGGGUUAACGCCCAGAAGAGCCGCAGUGAAUAGGCCCAAGCGACUGUUUAUCAAAAACACAGGUCUCUGCUAAACCGUAAGGUGAUGUAUAGGGGCUGACGCCUGCCCGGUGCUGGAAGGUUAAGAGGAGUGGUUAGCUUCUGCGAAGCUACGAAUCGAAGCCCCAGUAAACGGCGGCCGUAACUAUAACGGUCCUAAGGUAGCGAAAUUCCUUGUCGGGUAAGUUCCGACCCGCACGAAAGGCGUAACGAUUUGGGCACUGUCUCAACGAGAGACUCGGUGAAAUCAUAGUACCUGUGAAGAUGCAGGUUACCCGCGACAGGACGGAAAGACCCCGUGGAGCUUUACUGUAGCCUGAUAUUGAAAUUCGGCACAGCUUGUACAGGAUAGGUA